UACAGAGGUCCCGAGCGUUGUUCGGAUUCACUGGGCGUAAAGGGUGCGUAGGUGGUUGUAAAAGUCUGAUGUGAAAUCUCCGGGCUCAACCCGGAAAUGGCAUUGGAUACUAUAUAGCUUGAGGUUUGGAGGGGGGACUGGAAUUCUCGGUGUAGCAGUGAAAUGCGUAGAUAUCGAGAGGAACACCAGUGGCGAAGGCGAGUCCCUGGACAACACCUGACACUGAGGCACGAAAGCUAGGGGAG
rnacentral:rRNA from 1 species